rnacentral:lncRNA from 1 species
AGUGAGACUGACUGCGUCGGGGUUGAGACUGGGUGGAUGAGGCUCACCCCGGCGGGGAGAAGGGACGAGGAGGGGCGGACAGCGGAAGGUCCGGGAGUGUCCGCCAUAAAGUCGUUUGAGGUGACCGUUGCGUAAUUUUUUAACUUCUAGUCAUGGCGAAUGAUCGCAGGAGAGCACAGACUGGACCCUGCUACGAUCUCUCUUGGAGUGGAUCAGACUGAUGAUCACCAACAACCAACUCAUUCCCGGAUAAGGAAGAAGAGAGUGUCACCUACUUCAGUGUGGUUUCAACCCUACUUCUGCAUCUUAAAGACACUUGUACAACGUUGGACACUGUGCAGGAUGAUGCCACUUCAUCUUGGAUGCUAAUCUGCCAUGUUGACUUCUGAUUAACCCCAGGCCCAGGAAUGCCUCAAGAUUUCUACUUUACUUACUGUUGCUUGUGUAAGCCAAGACAACCUUGAUGUUAUCAUAAACAUGUACUUACCUAAGUCCUGUCCUUUGGCAAAUUAUGGGCUAUGAGACACAGCAUUCUUGCCUUUCCCUGAGGGGUCAAUUUCAGCGAUCCUACACAUUCCUUCUGAAGCACUUAUGCUCUUUCUAUAUGGUAUGUAAGCUCUCGGUCUGGGGAGUAACAGUGCAGAGAUCUACCUGUCUUGUUGCCACAUGUUUCUAAACUUUCCAAUAAAUCACCUUCUACUGACAAACUGGA